rnacentral:lncRNA from 1 species
CUCUGAUUUAAGCUGUGUGAAGUGUUUUCAACUGUCCCGAUUCAGAGAACAGAGUCAUGUAAUGGCUCAGAGGAUUCCUCCACCCACUUACACACACACACACACACACACACACACACACACACACACAAAAUAAAAAUUAAAAAUAAAAUUAAAAAUUAAAGAUUAAAAAUAAAAAAACCAAAAACCAACCAGACGGUGAAAUAGAGGUCCAUAGUGAUUAAAAUUUGCUGAAGAUUACAGAAAUAGUAGAGCUUGGCCUACUGCCCCUUCUCCAACACCCCCAGCCCUGCCCAUACCAUCUCCUGCUAAACAACCUGGACAUGGACUUCUUAAUUUUACUAAUCAAUUAUCUCUUUUUCUCUUUUCUGAUCUUUUGUGUAUAGGAGUAGGUUAAUGAGGAGGCUUUUUGGCACAAGUGACAUGAUCCCUUGACUCACGUAUCUUCAACUACAAAGGAAAUAGAUUAUCCUACAAUACAAGAUGCAAGGUAGAGUGUUUUCAAAGUUGGUUAAGUCAGUGGCUUAAACUCAGGUUAUUUCUGUUUUUUUCAUUUUACCAUCCUCAUUACUCUUUCUUUUUCUUUCUUUUUUUUGUUUUUUGAGACAGUCUUGCUCCAUCACCCAGGGUGGAGUGCAGUGGUGCAAUCUCAGCUCACUGCAACAUCUGCCUCCUGGGUUCAAGCGAUUCUUGUGCCUCAGCCUCCCAAGUAGCUGGGACUACAGGCGCGCACCACCACACCCAGCCAAUUUUUGUAUUUUUAGUAGAGAUGGGGUUUCCCCAUGUUGCCCCGGCUGGUCUCGAACUUCUGACCUCAAGUGAUCUGCCCACCUCAGCCUCCCAAAGUACCAGUAUUAUAGGCGUGAGCUACUGUGCCCAGCCUAUCCUCAUUACUCUUGAUUGUCCCUGUGCUAACUUCCUAAUGAUAAGAUGGCUGCCAUAGUUUCCAGGCAUGUUAAGCAGACAUAAUAGCCCCACCAGGAGAAGGAGCCUAUCUCUUCCUUGUGUCACUUUUUUUAUGGGUGAAUAAACCUUGUCCAGAAGCUUCUCUUAUCCUCCACUGCAGACUUGCAGACUCUCCCCUAUGUUUCACUGACCAGAAUUAAAUCAUGGUUCUGUACGUGAACUAGUCUCUGCACAGGGAAAUGGGACUUCAUGAUUGGCUCAGAAAAGUCAGGAUUCCCACCCCACAACUGCCCACUCAGUCAGGGGUUAGAGAAGGUCUAGCCUUCUGAAACACCAAGUCAUUUAGUAGAAGAAUACUGGGACUCCAUCUCAUGGCUGCCCUUGACACAGGCAUUCAUAAAUGGUUGAGGCCCAUUGUUUCAGCAGCAACUCAAAAACAAUUAUUCACAGGGCCAAGGUAAUACAAGCCAACUUUUCAGUUUGUAAUUAAGGAUAGAAAUGAGUUAUCCAGAGAAGCAGAUGAAUCACAUACUUUUCACAUAUUAAGAAAUUAGGUCUGGAGUCAGACAGAACUAGAUUUAAAUCUCUAUCCCACCAGUUUUGUGGUGCAGCCUUCAGCAAGUGACUUAAUGUCUCCAAGUCUCAGUGUUCCUAUCUUUAAAAUGGGAACAAUAACAAUUCCUACCUCACAGAGUGAUUAUGAGAAUAAAGUGAGAUCAUGGAGAUGAUGUGUUAACAAAGUAUUUGGCCAAUAGUAUGUAAUAAAUAAAUAUGUAUUGUCACUAAUACUAAUGAUAAAAAGUUUCCCCACAAAUUUUUCUUUUUACAGUGUGAAUCUUAAAUUUGAGAUUCUUUUCUCAAAUAAGGACUUAGUACUAAUAUUAGUAUUCUGUGUUACUGAUUGGGACAGAACAGUAUCUGAAUAGCACUGUAGGAAGAGUCACUCAUUCAUCCAACAUAUAUUUAUACAGCACUAACUAUGUGUUUGGCACUGAAUAUAUAGUGAUGAACAAGACAAGACAAACAUGAUUUCUGCUGUCAUGGAGCAUGAGUGCUGGAGACAUUUUCACAUCUCUACCCUAUCAGUUCAUAGUAACACCCCAGCUGGAUAAUUUUGGACUAUGGAAAUGAUGUUAGACAAAAAGCAAAUUUGAGUGAUUUUCUUAUUCGAGUUCAAAAUGGGUUGUAAAGCAGCGGAGACAACUCGCGACUUCAGCAACACAUUUGGCCCAGGAACUGCUAACAAAUGUACAGGGUAGUGGUGGUUCAAGAGCUUUUGCAAAGGAGCUAAGAGCCUUGAAGAUGAGGAACAUAGUGGCUGGCCAUCGCAAGUUGACAAUGACCAGUUGAGAGCGGUCAUCAAGGCUGAUUCUCUUACAACUACAUGAGAAGUUAUCUAAGAACUCACCGUUGACUGUUCUACAGUCAUUUGGCAUUUGAAGCAAAUUGGAAGAGUGAAAAAGCUUGAAAAGUGGGUGCCUCAUGAGCUGAGUGAAAAUUUAAAAAAUAGUCAUUUUGAAGUGUUGUCUUCUCUUAUUGUAUGCAACGAAAAUGAACCAUUUCUUGAUUGGAUUAUGAUGUAUCUCAAAAACUGGGUUUUAUAAAACAACUGGUGAUGACCAGCUCAGUGGUUAGACCAAGAAGCUCCAAAGCACUUCCCAAAGCCAAACUUGCACCAGAAAAAGUCAUGGUCGCUGUAUGGUGGUCUACUGCCGGUCCCAUCCACUACAGCUUUCUGAAUCCUGGAAAAACCAUUAUAUCUGAGAAGUAUGCUCAGCAAAUCAAUGAGAUGCAUGGAACAUCACAAUGACUGCAGCCAGCAUUGGUUAACAGAAAGGGCCCAGUUCUUCUCCACGACAACGCCUACCACACAUCGCACAACCAACGCUUCAAAAGUUGAAUGAAUUGGGCUAUGAUGUCUUGCCUCCUCAGCCAUAUUCACCUGACCUUUCACCAACUGGCUAUUUUCACUUCUUUAAGCACUCGACAACUUUUUGCAGGGAAAACGCUCCCACAACCAGCAGGAUGCAGAAAAUGCUUUUCAAGAGUUUGUUGAAUACCGAAGUAUGGAUUUUUUAUGCUACGGGAAUAAACAAACAUUUCUCAUUGGCAAAAUAUGUU